AUGGACUGAACGACGUAGUAUAACAGAACAAACGAAAAUGAGAUCGUCGAGAUCAUAUAUCGUUGUAUGUCUAUCGACGUUUGAUUCUGUGUUUUUGUUUUUUUUUCUCCUUGUUGUUUG
rnacentral:ribozyme from 1 species